GUUUGGAUGUGAUGCCAAAACAGAAUAUCAGAGGCUUUCAGCACUGGCACUGGUGAUAUUUUGCACGUCAGUCUGAUCCAAAA
rnacentral:snoRNA from 1 species